UACGAAGGGGGCUAGCGUUGCUCGGAAUCACUGGGCGUAAAGGGUGCGUAGGCGGGGCUUUAAGUCAGGGGUGAAAUCCUGGAGCUCAACUCCAGAACUGCCUUUGAUACUGAGGAUCUUGAGUUCGGGAGAGGUGAGUGGAACUGCGAGUGUAGAGGUGAAAUUCGUAGAUAUUCGCAAGAACACCAGUGGCGAAGGCGGCUCACUGGCCCGAUACUGACGCUGAGGCACGAAAGCGUGGGGAGAAAACAGG
rnacentral:rRNA from 1 species